UCUCUCUCUCUCUCUCUCUCUCUCUCUGUGUGUGUGUGUGUGUGUGUGAGAGAGAGAGAGAGAGAGAGAGAGAGA